AUGUACAAGAAAAAAUUACCCUUCAAUGCUAUCAAUGAUGAUGAUUUCAAACAGUUUUGUGAGGCUCUUGGUCGCUAUGGUCCUGAUUGGAAGCAACCCUCGCAAUAUAUGAUCAGGGAGAAGAUGUUGGUGCAGGAGGUGGAAAGGACUAGGGAUUUGUUGAAGCCACAUGAGGUCGAGAGGGCAGAUACAGGGUGCUCUGUCAUGACUGAUGCUUGGACGGACAAGAAAAAGAGGAGCAUCAUGAACUUGUGCGUGCAUUGCAAGUUGGGGACCGUCUAUCUUGGAUCAAAGGAGGUGUCGGCCGAUGCACAUACAAGUCUAUACAUUUUCAAUUAUGUGGAUGAAUGCAUUGAGAAAAUAGGUGCUAAAAAUGUUGUGCAAGUAGUCAUGGAUAAUGCUUCAAACAACAUGGGAGAAAAGGUGAUGUUGAAAGAUAAAAGGCCCAAGUUAUUUUGGACCUCGUGUGCAACUCACACCAUCAACUUGAUGGUAGAAGCGGUUGCAAAGUUGAAGCAUUUUGGUUCUACAAUAACCAAAGCAAAAGAAAUGACUACUUUCCUUUAUGCACAUCAUACUACAUUGGUCCUGAUGAGGUCCUAUACAAAAAAGAGAGACAUUGUUAGACCGGGGGUGACUAGAUUUGCUUCGGCAUUUCUUACCUUGCAAAGUCUUGAUGCUAAGAGGAAGCAACUAAAGGAAAUGUGUUGUAGUGAUACUUGGGAAGGAUGCAAGCACACGAGAACAAAGAAAGGGCAGGUGGCUCAUGCCGCAAUAAUGAGUAGGGCAUUUUGGAAAAAUGUGUCUCUUUGCAUUAAGGUUUUUGAGCCAUUGGUGAAGAUACUUCGGUUGGCUGAUGGCGAUGGACAAUCCAUGGCCUCUAUGUAUGGAGAAAUAAUAGAGGCAAAGAAGGCAAUAUUGGUUGCGGUUGAUAAUUCGGACAAGGACUAUAAGGCGAUCACAACGGCCAUGGAGAGCAAGAUGAAUGGGAGGCUAGAUACCCCAUUGCACAUUGCUGCAUAUGCCUUGAAUCCAUAUUAUAGUUAUGCUACCACAAGCAUGUUUACCAAUGUGGAAGUCAUGUCCGACUUGAUGGAAGUUAUUGAGCAAUUUUAUCUCGAUGAUGAUGAGAAGCAAAACAAAGUGCUUAACAUUGACUUGCCCAAAUUUAAAAAGAAGGAACGCAUGUUUGGGAAGGUGGUUGCCACCAAAGCAAUUAGCAAUGCAAAUUUCAAUGCCGGGGAGUGGUGGGCAACUUAUGGACUACAAACUCCUACAUUGAUGCACAUUGCUUUGAGGAUACUCAACUUGACCACAAGUUCAUCCGGAUGUGAAAGAAAUUGGUGUGUUUUUGAACAAGUGGAUGCAAAGAGGAGAAAUAAACUAGACGUGCAUCAUAGGGACGAUCUAGUUUAUAUUCAAUUCAAUGGAAGAAUGAUAGACAAGAGGAAGGAGUACUCCUCAUCUUGUGAUGUUCUUCUUGGUGAAGAUGCUUUCAUGGCACAAGAUUGGAUAUGUGAAGGUGCUUAUGUUGAUGCCAUGGAGGAGGUUGAUGCAAUGGGAGCUUCCGAGUUUGUUGAGCUACAUAGAAGUUCAAGAGUGAGAGAACUUCAUGAAGUGGAAGAAUUUGUUUCCGAUGGGGAAGAAUCUGAUCACGGGCUUGUCAAUGAGGAUGACAUAGAAUUCAAGUCCGAUGAUGAUGGGGUGAUACAAGGCGCCAAUGAAGAUGAGGAGGGGGACCCGAUGGAGCCUUAA
rnacentral:rRNA from 1 species